CAAGGGGCUGACAUCUCAAGAAAGGCAGCAUUCUGCUCCCGAAUAAGAUGAGACUGCUGGGUAUCCUCCUGUGCCUGAUGAUAGCCCCCCAGGGUGUUCUGUCAGAUGUGAAGCUGCAGGAGUCAGGCCCUGGGUUGGUGAAGCCCUCGCAGACCCUCUCCCUCACCUGUGCUGUCUCUGGUUACUCCAUCACAACCAGUGGUUAUUGCUGGGACUGGAUCCGCCAGCCACUAGGGAAGCGGCUGGAGUGGAUUGGGGUAAUAUGUUAUGAUGGAAGCACAGCCUAUAGCCCGACCUUUAAGAGCCGCACCUCCAUCUCGAGAGACACGUCCAAAAACCAGUUCUCCCUGCAGCUGAGCUCCAUGACCACGGAGGACACAGCUGUAUAUUACUGUGCAAGAGACACAGUGAGGGGAAGUCAGGGUGAGCUCUGA